UGUCCAAUGACGCCAGUGACCAUGAACUAAGGGUUAUGAUUUAUCCAAUUCUGUGUCUCAGAUUCAUU
rnacentral:snoRNA from 1 species